ensembl:processed_transcript
CGAUGGCUGUAUUAACGCAGCGCGCACAGGCUCGGUCUUUCCGUCCCGGCCUUGGUGGCCGAUCCACCCGAGCCGGUCCCCACUGCCCAGCCGUGCUGCUGCCUCGGACACAAGCGCAGGUACGUCCCGGCAUUGAUAGGAGGUAGGCCCUGGCCACGUGGCCGAGAAGACUGAGGUUCCAGGCCUGUCUUUGUUGAGCUGCGCAGGUCCUCCCCAGUCGCCCUUUCCUGUGCCCUUUUAAGGUUGUCGCAGUACUUUAAGAGGCUAACACAGAAGGGUAAAGGAACUCUCCAUAAAACCCAGAGAGGAAGACUACACCUCCUCUUUGGAUCCUGUCUGGAGUCACAAAUGAACCAAAACCUUCAUUUAAAACUUAAGUGUGCGCAUUUUAGGUUCUGGCGAUUGCUAGGUAGUGACAUAGGGCGUUAAAGAAAAAAAACAUAGCCUACUUGGUUUAAUUUGAUUGGAAGGGAAAGUUCAGAAGACAAGAAUACAUUUGCUUUUCGAGAAGUGAGAUAUUAGGUCAGCCGAAAGGAUAUAGUUGAGUAUGUUCCACUUAUGUGAAACAUUUUUAUUCUUUCAUAGGUUGAAAACUACAAGAAACUCGUGACUGAAUGGCUCCAAGGUGAAGUACUCUUGCAUGUAGUGACCAGGCUUGCCUGUAUCCCACUUUAGGAUUAGUGUCGAAGCUGAAAUAGGUGAAGUCCAUUUUACAAAUAGUGGGGGCCAUGUGAGUUUCCUUGAAUGGCCUUGUAACUGAUUACCCUGAAGGUAGUUUCCUAAAGUUUUUAAUCAAUGUACUAGGAUCCUGCCCCACCCCUUCUGCAUGUCCCACUGCCCUAGAAUCAGAUCUGCAUGGCUAUGACAUGCUGGCCAUUUUAAAGAUGCAAAGAUUUCAUGCUAGAUCAUCAGAAUGUAUCUGGACUUCGUUAGGACAAGUUCUUUGCUAGCAAUCGAGGUGUGUUAACCUGUAUAUUGUUGCCUAUGAGUAAUUUUCCAUAAUCUUAAAUAAAGGCUUCCUGUGUCAAUUCU